GAUGAAGAACGUAGCGAAAUGCGAUAAGUAAUGUGAAUUGCAGAAUUCAGUGAAUCAUCGAAUCUUUGAACGCACCUUGCGCCCUUUGGCCAUUCCGAAGGACAUGCCUGUUUGAGUAUCAUGAACACCUCAACUCUUUAUGGUUUUCCAUGAUGAGCUUGGACUCUGGGGGUUUUGCUGGCUCACAGUCGGCUCCUCUAAAAUGAAUCAGCUUACCAGUGUUUGGUGGGUAUCAUGGGUGUGAUAACUAUCUACGCUUGUGGUUUUUCCACCAGGUAACCUUCAGCAGUGGAGGUUCGCUGGAGCUCAUAGAUGUCUCUCCUCAGUGAGGACAGCCCUUUGAAUGUUUGAUCUCAAAUCAGGUAGGACUACCCGCUGAACUUAAGCAUAUCAAUAAGCGGAGGA
rnacentral:misc_RNA from 1 species